UGGGGAAUAUUGCGCAAUGGGCGAAAGCCUGACGCAGCGACGCCGCGUGAGGGAUGACGGCCUUCGGGUUGUAAACCUCUUUCAGUACCGACGAAGUGAGAAUGACGGUAGGUACAGAAGAAGCGCCGGCUAACUACGUGCCAGCAGCCGCGGUAAGACGUAGGGCGCGAGCGUUGUCCGGAUUUAUUGGGCGUAAAGGGCUCGUAGGCGGCCUGUCACGUCUGCCGUGAAAGGCCAGGGCUUAACUCUGGUUUUGCGGUGGAUACGGGCAGGCUUGAGGCAAGUAGGGGAGAACGGAAUUCCAUGUGUAGCGGUGAAAUGCGCAGAUAUAUGGAGGAACACCGGUGGCGAAGGCGGUUCUCUGGGCUUGUUCUGACGCUGAGGAGCGAAAGCGUGGGGAGCGAACAGG
rnacentral:rRNA from 1 species